rnacentral:rRNA from 1 species
UACAGAGGGUGCAAGCGUUGUUCGGAAUUAUUGGGCGUAAAGAGCGUGUAGGCGGCCUGGUAAGUCCGCUGUGAAAGUCCAGGGCUCAACCCUGGAAUGCCGGUGGAAACUGUCAGGCUCGAGUCCGGAAGAGGCGAGUGGAAUUCCUGGUGUAGCGGUGAAAUGCGCAGAUAUCAGGAGGAACAGCCAAUGGCGAAGGCAGCUCGCUGGGACGGUACUGACGGCUGAGAGC